UAAUAAAUGCCACUUACCUGAGACCCAGCUCUGUUCUCCACGGGGGCUAGAAUGGAAGUUCUGAUGAUGCAGAAUUAUGUAUUCUGGAAUGUGAACAGAGCGGGAGUUGGCAGUGGGUAACAUUGAGGAGAUGAAAGCGUUCUAGGCUGGAAGCAGAAGGCUGGCUACCAAACGUAGGAGCAAAUAGCUUUCCUCUAAAUAGAAACUGCCGGAGCGUCCCGAGGGCUACAGAGAUCCAAAAAAAGGAACAUGCAAGGAAGAAGUUCCAGUGAUGAGAUGAUGGUUUUCGUAAUGCGCCAUCACGUUUUCUUUCUCAGUGAGCAGUGCGGCUCGGCCGUUAAUUGGAGAGGAAACAAUCAGAGACCUGCUGCUGCUGUAGCUUCUGAUUUUUCUGAUUCUUCUUGUCCUUGGUGCAGCGGCCAGCUGGCUUCUUUCUCCCCUGGAGUUCUGACAGUGUCAGCUGUUGAAAAACAGAGGUUCCUUCAUGAGUGUUAGACUCAUCUAGUCCGGGAACAAGAACAAUAUUGUGUGGCCAGUCUCCACUCUACAGCACAGCUUGAAGAGUAAGCUGCAGAGCAAACCAAACUAAUUACAAAAUAGAGCUCAAUAAAUUCAAGGAAAUCGCCACGUAUUCUCAGACAUUUCAUUGAACAUAAGGUGCAAUUGGUUGAAUAAAUUGUUACACAGGGUCUCAUUCGGGUCUAGUUGGAACAAAGACGGAGGAAGCAUGAAACCUUCUG